ACCUGUGAUUUCUUUCUUUUUCUUCCUGAUCUCUCACUUUUGUAUUUUCGCAUCACCUGUUCUACCUCUCUAGCUUUCUCCUAUAGCUCUAAUUUUCCUUCCUUGUUCAUUUUCUACUUUUUUCUGCUUCAUAGGAAGCCUUAGCUGCUUCCAUCAUGUACGCUUAGUUCAUUUUGCUUAAUGAAUGAAGCAGGUAGCUUGCUACCUCUUUCUCAAAAAAAAAAAAUAAAUAAAUAAAUAAAUU
rnacentral:lncRNA from 1 species